rnacentral:lncRNA from 1 species
AUGCUUGGAUUCUUAUUGGCUGCCAAAUAUGUCAGUCAACUAUGUCAUUGACUGACAUAUUUGGCAGCCAAUAAAAAUUUACCCCACCUGGGAGAUCAACGAAUCAGAUUCCGAUGUCCCAGACGAACAGGAAGUUUACAAUCGUUGUUGACACACGAGCUACACAUUUAGGUACAAUUUCUUAGCGAAAAUUGUUGCUUUUUGUCUAAACAAAGAAAACAUGGUUUGCGACAAUUGUGAGAAAAAGCUGGGCAGGGUGAUAACUCCAGACACCUGGAAGGAUGGAGCGAGAAACACUACAGUAUUGUAUUAUGUUUAUUAGAGAGCGGUGGGCGGAAGCUGAACGAGAACAAGGCUCUGACAUCUAAGAAGGCCAGGUUUGAUCCUUAUGGGAAGCCAGGAAAGUCAGGCUUUGGCAUCUGCAGAAUCUGCAAGAGCUCUGUUCACCAAUCAGGAUCUCACUACUGCCAGGGCUGUGCCUACAAGAAAGGUAUCUGUGCCAUGUGUGGGAAAAAGGUUCUGGACACCAAGAACUACAAGCAGACCUCUGUCUGACAGGCUUCUGACAGGCCACCAGGAUGACCGGAGAGAGGGAGAGGGGAGGAAGGUGUGCACGAGGAAUGACGACUUUAUCCUGUUGUUUAGACCCCCUGUCUAAAACACUCAUAGCAGAGUUGCAGUCAAGGGGUUUUUACUCUGUGUGUGUGUGUGUGUGUGUGUGUGUGUGUGUGUGUGUGUGUGUGUGUGUGUGUGUGUGUGUGUGUGUGUGUGUGUGUGUGUGUGUGUGUGUGUGUGUGUGUGUGUGUGUGACAGAUGUGGAGCAGGGUUUCCCUCCCUAUUGUAAAGCUCCUAUAAUUUUCAGCUUUGUAGCAGCAAUACGUGGCCAGCACUGUUCCACACACCAAAUCGGAGACUACUUUUAGUUUUAAUAGCUGAACUGAUGGUUUCUCUCCUGUUGUGUAAAAUCUGCUCUGAUACAGGAGUUUCCUUUUAUUGAUUCUUUGUGAAUUAUAUCAAGUGUUAUGUUUUGAGUGCAUAAAAAUAUUCAAUAUGUAAUGGCAAUGACAGGAUUAUUUAUUACUUUUGUGUAGUUUCAGACGAAAAGCAUAACAAGUAUGUCUGUUCAAUGUACAUGGUCUUCUUAUUCAGUAGGCAUGAUCACGAGUCAUUACCCUCUUCUGUGUCUUGCCGUGUUCACGUGCUAGUCGUUUUCUCUGAGAUUUCUGACUGUCUAACUGGUUUAACACGGCACAUGUAUAACUACAACCAGCUAGCUAGUCAGAAAUUUCUUGAGUUUCCUAAUUCCGACUAGCAUGUGAACGUGGGAUCUCUGUCAGCUCUAUGCCCCACAGGGAUUGGUUUAGAACCUCUGACAUCAUCAUGAUGUGACACAGCAUGCUGUAACUUCCUGUGCAACCCAGGGUCAGGUUAGAGAACAGAGGUUGGCUAAGUCAUUGACAUUUAAAUGUCCUGUCUACCCUCAGGCUCUCCACUCUACCCCACCAUACACACAUCCAGCCUGUUACACAGAAAGGAAGAGCCAAACCACUACCGUCGUAGUGAUAUUGUUUUAUUGAGAACACACGAUUCAUGAAAACAAAUAUGGCAACAUAGAGAGAGGAAAACAUUGUUGCACAUAUUAAGAAAAAAACAGGAAUACUUUCCUAAUAUUGAGUUGCACCCCCUUUUGCCCUCAGAACAGCCUCAAUUCGCCAGGGCAUGGACAACAAGGUGUUGAAAGAGUUCCACAGAGAUGUUGGUCCAUGUUGACUCCAAUGCUUCCCAUAGUUGUGUCAAGUUGGCUGGAUGUCCUUUGGGUGGAGUACCAUUCUUGAUACACACAGGAAACUGUUGAGUGUGAAAAACCCAGCAGUGGUGCAGUUCUUGACACAGUCAAACCAGUGCGCCUGGCACCUACUACCAUACUCAGUUCAAAAGCACUGAAAUAUUUUGUCUUGCCCAUUCACCCUCUGAAUGGCACACACACACAAUCCAUGUCAAUUAUCUCAAGGCUUAAAAAUCCUUCUUUAACCUGUCUCCUCCCCUUCAUCUACACUGAUUGAAGUGAAUUUAAAAGGUGACAUCAAUAACGAAUCAUAGCUUUCAGCUGGAUUCACCUGCUCAGUCUGUCAUGGAAAGAGCAGGUGUUCUUAAUGUGUUGUACAUCUAUAGUAGGACACGUUGGCUUACAUGGGGGGGUGGGUGGGGGGGUAAUAAAGCCUAUUUGUCGGAAAAACAUUCUGAUUGGCUGGGCCUGGCUCCCAAGUGGGUGGGCCUAUGCCCUCCCAGGCCCACCCAUGGCUGAGCCCCUGCCCAGUCAUGUGAAAUCCAUAGAUUAGGGUCUAAUUUAUUUAUUUCAAAUGAGUGAUCUCUUUCUAUGAACUGUAACUCAAUAAAAUCUUUGAAAUUGUU